GUUUGAUGGAGAUGGGUAUGUGAAGUUAUGUCAAUUUGAUCAGAAGAUAUUAAUAGGAUAUGCUGCAUUGAUUUUUGGAAUAAUUUAGGAAAGAGAAUUUGACUAUUCCACUUUAGCUUUCCUUUUGUUCACCAGUAACUAUUGUCCCAAUGUCUAAUUUAAGCAAAUUUUUGUAGGAUUAACGUCUUAAGUUCCUCAUCCAAAAUGCACAAUCAGUCUACUGCUUAAUUUUCCUGGACCGCAAGCCAAAUUUGUAUGACACAUAUACCAUUAAGUAUUCAGCAAAUUAUCAGAUUGUGUGCAACUCUUGUUAAAAUCUCUAUUUUCUCUUGUAAUAUGAGUGAUAUCAUCCAUUUUUCUACUAGCCACUUUACAACCUUUGUAAUUAUUUCAGGAUUUCGAAAGUUUAUAUCAGGACCAUCCUAGUUGACAUGUUAAGUAUGGCUUUGUAUAAGUUAUUAUCUUUUUUCUUCAAAUUUGCAGCAUGAUUCACGGUAUGCGCAUCA
rnacentral:misc_RNA from 1 species